UAGGAAUAACGGCAGGCAUUUGGUCUUGACCUGAAGUUAUUAAGGUGCCUAUAUACUACAUGAUAAAAGAAUAUUUCAAAAUUUAUUUUGGAGUAGGGUAGAGAUUUAGAAGGUUCUCAGGAAGACAGUGGAUAGUGUCCUCUGGUCUGACCUUAAGACAUGACACCUGGUUUUAAGUGGUCAGAGAAUUAAUGCUUCCAAAUCUACAGAGUUAGUGAUUCCAGAAAAGUCUGUGUCCUUGUGGAUACUUUCCUAGCGAUGGUGACUUAGGACAAUAAUCACUGACGAAAAGGGAAGGCAAUUUUUUGAUAACAAAAUCAUCAACAAUGAAGGCGUUAAAAUGAAAAGAAUUAUGUGCCUUCAAAUUUUGCUCUCUGUGUCUUGUUCAGUGGAGGCACAACAUGUUAUUAUGGUAUGUGAGGCUUGCAGUGACUUAUGCCUUACUAAGAAUUACUUUCUUUAUUCAGUCAUGGCCUUGUAUGGCUAGAAGUCCCUCAGGCUCACCAAAAAAAAAAAAAAAAAAAAAAAAAAGGAAAAAAAGUUCAUGUUGUCAAGAGAACCUGGAGUCCCUCCAAAAGGUGCCCCAUUGAUUCAAAAGCCAGACACUUCUUUGUCAACAAAGGCAUCCCACAGCGAAAAGUCUGGAGGAUAAAUUGCACUUGGCUCAUCGUCGUGUAAUCAGAAAUUCAUUCAUGUGAGGAAAAAGCAGUUAAAACUUAUGGAAAAAUGCCAAAGAAAGUGGCUGUCUGAUUGCUUUUUGGCAGAGGCUGAGAUCAAGAUUUACCAAGGAAAGCCCACGUAUACGACCCAAGAGGAAGUUACAGAGCUCAAGAGCAUUACUAAGCCUGGAAAUUGGAAUUUCAGUUACCUUGCAAGGUAUCAGGUGGCUCUUUCAAAUGAAUUUUUAAGUAUCUCAGUGAUGAUGAAGAAGAACAGAGACAUCAAUUAGGAUUCAGGAAGACAAGACUUGAUGCUUAGAGCAUCAAGGAUUGCUAUUAAUAUUUGAAAGUUUCAAAGAGGGUAUACUUUUCUUUAGUCAACAAAUGACAAAAGUAAAGGCACUAUUUUCAUUGUUCCUGGAAGAAGCUGGGCAGUAUUUCAUUCAGACAUCAGCCCUGUGAUUGUCCCGUUUUCCUCUUUAUUUCAGUCCUUCUAAUCUCCAAGGGUGAGUCCGAAUAUUUCUUCCUGAGGCUUCUUCUAAUCAUCUCUGCCCUUAAGGACAACUCCCUCCUCCAACUCCUGUAGCCCUUAUCAUCAUACCUGCCAUUUGAAAAUUUAGCACAAUGAUACAUUAUACAUUAUUGAAUAAAUAUAUGUUCAUUCUCUGCAAGUAUGUUAGAGAACUGUCAGGACAAUUUAUUUCUUUCCCAGCACAGUGUUCUGUCAAUGGGAGAAUCUAAAAAAAUACUUACUGAUGAUGAUGGCAAGUCUAUUGAAAUCAGAUGCAAUUUUAUUUUUUUAAAUGAAUGAGAGGAGAGACAACGCUGAAGCUUUAGAAGCUGAGACU